UACGGGGGGGCAAGCGUUGUUCGGAAUUACUGGGCGUAAAGGGCUCGUAGGCGGCCAACUAAGUCAGACGUGAAAUCCCUCGGCUUAACCGGGGAACUGCGUCUGAUACUGGAUGGCUUGAGGUUGGGAGAGGGAUGCGGAAUUCCAGGUGUAGCGGUGAAAUGCGCAGAUAUCAGGAAGAACACCAAUGGCGAAGGCAGCUCUCUGGGACGGUACUGACACUGAGAACGCGGAAAGCGUGGGGAGCCGAACAGG
rnacentral:rRNA from 1 species